UUUCGCCUGUUUAUUCAAAAACAUGUCUGNUGGUGAGUUUAAUGGUCUUACCUGCCCACUGCAAAGUAAAUGGCUGCGGUAAUUUGACCGUGCUAAGGUAGCAUAAUCAAUAGUUUUCUAAUUUAAAACUGGAAUGAAUGGUGUGACGAAAAGCAAGCUUUUUUUAAAAUAUAAAUUGAAUUUUACUUCUGAGUGAAAAGGCUUAGAUUUAAAUAAGGGACGAUAAGACCCUAUAAAACUUAAUAAUACUAGUUUAUUAAAAUUAUAAAGUUUAAAAUUAACUAACUUACUUUUAUUUAGUUGGGGUGACUAAGAUAUAAAUUGUAGCUGUCUCGGUUAGAUUAAUAAAUAUAUUUUGUUAUUAAAUCCUUUCUUAAAGAUUUAAAACUAAGUUACUUUAGGGAUAACAGCGUAAUUUUUUCUGAGAGUUCUUAUCGAAGAAAAUAGUUGCGACCUCGAUGUUGAAUUAAAAUUUUUGAUUAACGCAGCUGUUAAAGAAAUGGGUCUGUUCGACCUUUAAAAUUUUACAUGAUUUGAGUUCAGACCGGUGUGAGCCAGGUGGGKUUUCUAUCUA
rnacentral:rRNA from 1 species